AACGAACGCUGGCGGCAUGCCUAACACAUGCAAGUCGAACGAGACCUUCGGGUCUAGUGGCGCACGGGUGCGUAACGCGUGGGAACCUGCCCUUAGGUUCGGGAUAACUCCCCGAAAGGGGUGCUAAUACCGGAUAAUGUCUUCGGACCAAAGAUUUAUCGCCUUUGGAUGGGCCCGCGUUGGAUUAGCUAGUUGGUAGGGUAAAAGCCUACCAAGGCGACGAUCCAUAGCUGGUCUGAGAGGAUGAUCAGCCACACUGGGACUGAGACACGGCCCAGACUCCUACGGGAGGCAGCAGUGGGGAAUAUUGGACAAUGGGCGAAAGCCUGAUCAAGCAAUGCCGCGUGAGUGAUGAAGGCCUUAGGGUUGUAAAGCUCUUUUAACCGGGAUGAUAAUGACAGUACCGGGAGAAUAAGCUCCGGCUAACUCCGUG
rnacentral:rRNA from 1 species